AUUGAACGCUGGCGGCAGGCUUAACACAUGCAAGUCGAGCGAGCGGCGGACGGGUGAGUAAGGUCUGGGAAACUGCCUGAUGGAGGGGGAUAACUACUGGAAACGGUAGCUAAUACCGCAUACCAUCAGAUGUGCCCAGAUGGGAUUAGCUAGGAGGUGGGGUAAUGGCUCACCUAGGCGACGAUCCCUAGCUGGUCUGAGAGGAUGACCGGCCACACUGGGACUGAGACACGGUCCAGACUCCUACGGGAGGCAGCAGGGGGGAAUAUUGGACAAUGGACGCAAGCCUGAUGCAGCCAGGCCGCGUGAGUGAAGAAGGCCUUCGGGUUGUAAAGCACUGUCAGCGAGGAGGCGUUACUCGCAGAGGAAGCACCGGCUAACUCCGUGCCAGCAGCCGCGGUAAUUC
rnacentral:rRNA from 1 species